GCCCGGAUGGUGGAACUGGUAGACACGUAUGCCUUAGGAGCAUAUGUCUUACGACGUGCAGGUUCAAGUCCUGUUCCGGGCACCA
rnacentral:tRNA from 1 species